ensembl:lncRNA
AUUGACGAGAAUUAGAAGAGAAAGUUCAAUGCCUCUGGGAUGCAAACAAUGUUUUCAGAUUGGCUGCAACUUCGGAAUAAACGCGUGGUCUUGUAGCCAGCAAAUGGGCAUUGUGGAUUGCGUCAGGAUCUGUAUAAUUCAAUCGCAGCAGCCAGAGAUAUACUUUAGUGCUUUUAAACAACUGGUUAGUUAACUAUUUUGUCACCUCUGGGGCUAACUAAUCUCUAUGGGCAAAACUAUAUUUCCUGGUUUAAACGGAAACAGCGAUUGGACCACCGCAACGAAUGGGUUGAAAUGCAUAUGCCUUGGGAUGAACAGGGACCAUUUCAAUGAGUCAGUCUUCUCCCAUUUCAAAAAGUACCACCGUAGAUGUGCGGCGUUGAGACGAGACGCAGUCGUGGAGGUCAUUUCAAAAAUGAUGAUGCAACUCGCGUUUCAUGUACAUAUUAGGCAUUACAGAACAUACAAUAUGAAUUUUUAUGGUAUUUUCUAUUAUUAAAUAUACAUAUCACAACUUGUUAUGUCUUAGUUGGUAGAGAAUAGUGCUUGCAAUGCCAGCGUUGUGGUUUCAAUUCCCACAGGGGACAGAAUGAGAAUGAACAAGUACGAAAACAUAAUGCAGUCACUACUGUAAGUCACUGAGGAUAAGAGCAUCUGUUAAAUGACUAAAAUGGAAAUUUGAAGUGAGAGUGAGAUGGAAGGCUCAGAGCAGGCAGAGCUCUCUCUCAUCGACUCAGGAUCUGAGGGACGCCGGGUCUGUGAGACGCCAAUUUAACAGGCUGAGCAGUAAAUACAUACACGCAACACACCUGUCAGGUCUCCGUGGAAGCCUGCCUCUGUUCCUCCGCUCUGCUCAUCUGACUGUUGUAGGACACGGAGACCAAAGGGAGGCAGGAGCAUUGGCUAGAAUCCCUGUUCUCACCGCCAGGACUCCUGUUGGGGUCAGGGACUGACACAGAAAAACACAAGCACAAUGUACACACACAUGCUCUCACAUACAAUAUUAUAGCAUGCACGAACGCGCGCACACCCAUACACACACCCAUACACACACGCAUACACACACCCAUACACACACCCAUACACACACGCAUACACACACGCAUUCACACACCCAUACACACACCCAUACACACAAAGCACUGAUGGGGACACAAACACACAUAGUUAAAGACAAACGGAGGCUAUUUUAGUGCUCUCUGCGUAUGUGUAGGAACAAAAGAACAGGUUGGUACGUCAGAAAGACACCCAAAGAUAUAAACAAGAAAAAAGACAGUCCUUCAAUAAGUAGGAGACAAAGAGGAAGAGAACAGGACAGAAAGUGAGUGAGGGGGGAUUUGGAGAGGGAGAGAGAGACCAAGGUUGCUGGAUGAGGGAGAGAGAGAGACCACGGUUUGCUGGAUGAGGGAGAAAGAGAGAGACCAAGGUUGCUGGAUGAGGGAGAGAGAGAGACCACGGUUUGCUGGAUGAGGGAGAAAGAGAGAGACCAAGGUUUGCUGGAUGAGGGAGAGAGAGAGAGACCAAGGUUGCUGGAUGAGGGAGAGAGAGACCAAGGUUGCUGGAUGAGGGAGAGAGAGAGACCAAGGUUUGCUGGAUGAGGGAGAAAGAGAGAGACCAAGGUUGCUGGAUAAGGGAGAGAGAGACCAAGGUUGCUGGAUGAGGGACAGAGAGAGAGACUAAGGUUUGCUGGAUGAGGGAGAGAGAGAGAGACCAAGGUUGCUGGAUGAGGGAAAG